AAUAGUUUAUAAAGUAUCCUUUGCUUCUUCUGUCAGACUUGUCAAACCGAUAUACCUGGGCGCAGUCGGGUUUCUAUCAUUAUUAUUUGUCCUUUCGGCCUGAACACAUCAAAAUUUGUUGUCUAGUCUCAAAUUAUUUCCUUUGUUCGGUUCAAAAACUUGUACGGAUUAACCAUGUGUUGCGGACCCUGUGGACCCUGCUGCGGACCCUGCUGUGGUCCAUGCGGACCUUGCUGCGGACCAUGCGGAGGAGGAUGUGGACCCUGCUAUGGGCCGAAUGUCUGCGGACCUUGCUAUGCCUGUGGACCCUGUGGCGGCUGCUACUGUGGAUAUCCCUGCUGCUAGAUAGUUGCAGCUGGUCAUCGCCAAGAGGGGAUCCCCUGAACACCAGGAUAAUACGGUAGUACUGUCUAUUAUGGUCAGUCGGGAAGUCGGUCCAUCCUCGAAGCCAUCCAGCUUGCGUCUGGUAUUCAUCUUAUGAUCGUGAACCACAAUGAAGUAUUUGAGACAAAAUAAAAAUGAAGUUUUCAGAUUCCGAUU